GUACCCCCAGCACGCCUCCUCCGUCCACCGCCCGGUCGUACGCAGGCCGAUCCGCCGCCGCGUCACGACAGCGGGCCCCGCCGCUAGCGAGCAAUGGACCGGGUCGGCAGCGGCGAGAAGCACCUCGAGGACUGCACCGUCGCCAAGUUAGUCACCCGGCUCUCCCUCCCUCCCCCCCUGCCUCCUGCCUUGUGAUUCUUGCUGCCGCUUCGGUCACGAUCGCUGUGGUGCCUGUCUAGGUGUGGGAUUCGCGGGCGCCCGCUAGGUGUUCGUUGAAAUGCUCCAACGGCAGCAAUUCCACGCUCUUCUGUUUUUUCUGUUUGAGGGGCAGAGACGUCAGGGUUUCUUGAUCCAUGCUAUGAUGUCACAACAUACUGUAGAAUCAGAAAUGGUGUCGCAUUCACGAAACCUCAGCUUAUGGACAUGGUACGAUGUAACCUUUUCCCGAGAGUAACUCAUGGAUGUGAAUGUGAUUUGGGCAUUAGGCGCACUAUGCCUUCAGUUGCUCUACUGCCAUAUUCCUCAACCAUCACCCUUUUUUUGGGUACAUCCUGUGAGAAGUGCACUGGCGUAUGGUCACAUGCUAUAUAUUCGGGAUGUUCACGGCUAUAUUAGAAUAAUAAUGAAUUGUGUUAACAGUGUGCAGUUAAAAGUGCCUUGAGCAUGGGCUGUGGAUUUGUAGACUUUGCUUGGAAUAUGUGAGA
rnacentral:lncRNA from 1 species